rnacentral:tRNA from 1 species
GCAGUGAUGGUUCAGUGGUAGAAUCCUCAGCUUCCACAGGGGAGACUGGGGUUCAAUUUCUCGUCAAUGCA